AAAUUUCUCUUUCCUCAGCUCAUCAAGAAAACCUCUCCCUCUAAGCUAGCUCCGCAGGUCCUCAAAAUCAAGAAAAUGGUUCACUUCUCAGCCGUUUUUAGUUGCUUUGUUCCUUCAUCAUCUUCUUCUUCGUCUUCCCGAGUUGCAGAUGAUGCUGUACAAGUCUCCGGCAUGAAAGCGCCUAAUGUAGAGAAACCCAAAAGCAAACCAAAAUCAUCUAGUGCUCCUAUUGUGGUU
rnacentral:misc_RNA from 1 species